UUUCUAACAAAGAAUCCUCGAAGAAUGCAGAAUCUUCGACAUAAAGUGGACCAAACCGCAAACCAUAAACUUCCUUCCAUUCGUGUUUUUUGGUUUUACGAAUUUUGUACAAUUUUUUCCUUUUUUUCCAUAUACACCAAGGAAUCUUCUUCAUCUUCUUCCGUCUUUCUCACACACACGUCCUCUUUCCUUAACACUAUAGGGUUGUCCUAUACAAAAUUUGCGCUAACUUUUAGAUACCCAAAUUAAAUACUCGUGGGCACACAUUUUUUAUAUUUCAAUUAACGCCUUGAUUUUGUCAUCAUCGAUAGGGUGCGACAAGUCUACGACAUUCUUCAUCUUUAAACUCAACAUUUCUAGUUCUAAGACUACAAAAAUCAUUUACAAACACCCCUAUCGUGUAAUGUGUAUACAAUGAUAUGGCGGUACCGCGUAUUCUACAUUUCUCAUAUAUACUAUUCAAAUGAUCAGCUCUCCUUUCCGAUGAAAGUGUUAUAAAUAUAUCGAAAAUGCAUUCCAUCGCACUGCUAUGAUCCUUUCCAAAAUUCACCGCAUCCAGUUGCGAUAGCUGUUAUACAAAGACCGAGCCAAUAUUAUGUUUCUCCCAUCGCACCCACAUAUAUUGAAACUUUUCCCCAAAGACCAUAUCCGAAUUCCAUAUGCGUUCAUUGGCAUUCUUGUUAUCUCGCUCUUUGCAUGUACGCGAGUCAUUUUCGCGAAUCUCUCACACCUCGAAAAAAGCAGACCCGCGUAAGUCACCACCUUCCCUCCAUCUUUUCGCCACGCGAUUCACUUGGAAACACAAACGAAACCGUGUGUCGAAUGCCCAUUACUGCGCAAAACGUACGCAAGUACACACCGUGUGUGGAAAGGCUCGACCCAGAUAUCGGUGUUUCGAACGUGCCGGCUAGUCAGAGCGCAGCCAGCAGGGAACAGCGCUGUCUAUCGGAAGCCGCACAGCUCUUCAGUUCAUCGACUGUCGUUGCGCGGUGCACGCUGGUGCAACGCUGCACACGGUAAUCUUUCCGUGUACGCCGUACGUGCGUCUUCCGCUAGUCGUCCCUUCAGGCGAGAGAAAUUUUGCGAUCGCGCACGCGGAUACUCUUAUCGCGUUGAUACCGUGUGACCGGUGAGUGUCAGUGACUCGAUCCUAGAUAGCUUCGAGAAUCAACGGUAAAAGUGACAUGAGCCGAUGAGAAUUGUGGAAGUUAUGAUGAAAUUAAUGAAGCUUGAUGAAGUUUAUGUUGGAAUACAAGAUCGACGAAUUUUUUUAAAUAAUUUUUUACUUGGUGAAUAACGAGCAUUACAGAAGAGAUCAGAGUUCGAUGAAUUUUAGGAAAUCAUAGGAAUACGAUGAUCGACGAUAUAAUUACUCGACGUUGAGAAAUAAUUAAAGAACAUAUCGAACUACAAAUUUUGUACAUGUUUCACUAAUCUACCGAGUUUAACAGAUUUCGUGGAAUAAUUAAAAGAUAUUAAUACGAGAGUACGAAGAUGGAAAAAUCAUUGUGGGUGUUUACUCGCUUAAUGGAUAACGAGGAUAAUGAAAGUAAUUGGGUGAUAUUUUGUGGUUAGUUUACUGUGCAAACUCGAGACGAUGCACUUGCUCGUCUUCAUAGACCAACUGCCGUCUUUUCUUUGAGGCAUAAUGAGGAUAUUUACAGUUGUCCUCUGUCAUUUGUUGGAAGCACCUGUAAUACCGACAUUUACGAUUUCAAAGUAAUUGCUUUCACACUAAUUACAUCAGGAACCAACGAGUAUUAAACUUUGGAGAAGUUAGUCUGUUCCAUAGCUGGUUCGCCUGCUAUUGGAUUUCUGAUUACACUCGUUCGACAAAAACACCGAGUAGAAAAAGUAUCGAAGAAACGUGUUGCGUAACUAACAGGAGAAUUCUACGAAUGUGCCGCGUUAAGUGUGACGGUAAAAGAAAGAAGGAAACGCUUGCCAAUCGAGUCUGUCAAAUCAACACAGUCCAUUUCUUGUCCCGACGACGUCCGUUUAAACGCACAUCGCAACUUUUUUCUCCAUUUGCGUAGUUUUGUUUGCAUUAAUCAUUCCAACUUCUUGUAUUUUACGUAACACGCGUUUCUUCUUCCGUUUGUUUUCUUGCAUACGUUAAAAUCGUUGUGACAAUUUUCAAGUUUCAGAGAAAAAGUACAUUAAUAUCGACGCUUCCUGAAUAUUCAAAUUACCUCUACCUCUUUCAUAAUUGUAAAAAAUUACUUUCUUUUAUGUCAGUGUUCACUGAAAAAUAGUAUCUUGCCUUCUUCGAGCGAUUAGAGUUAUGCUUUUGUAGAAAUGAGAAUCUUUUAAAUAUUUUUUAUCUGCUUUUGUAAAGUUAAUCAGUUUCAAGGAAUUCGUUAUUAUUUUACCACAAAAUAUUAAAUUCGUCCCAUUUUCACGCUGCUUAGCAAAUGACAAGUACAUUGUUCGUUAUAUACAGUCGCACUCCGCUCGUAAAUCGAGAAACUCAUUAAAGAUAGCCACGUUUAAUGCAGCUCUUUGCUGUAAUCAUUCGAUUACAGAGAAUUAUCACGAUACUGUGUAUCAUCCUCAAAAUCAGGCUCCAUAUACACGGUUGUAUAAUAGUAUAACUGUACGGUAGCAUGAAAUCAGCAGGUGGUCUCAUAAUUAAUAGUGCAUGACUCGAAUAAAAAAAUACGGUCCAAAACACCGUAUAGAACAUCUGUUCCUUAGUUUGUAAGAAGGAGACAUCUUCCAUGGGAAUAAAAAUUUCCAUCAAAUGAAUGUAAAUUAUCACUGUAUAAAUAUAGCUUAGAAAAUAUUGAAACGUAUGAAUGUUUAUAAUGGUAUUGCUGGAAUUAAUGACGUUAAUAACUCCUUCAAUUUUCAGAAUUCUCUGAUAAAACUGACACAGAAUAUUCUUGCAAAUAUGUACAAUUAAUUAAUCAAAUACGAAAAUAAUCGACGAAUCUUCCUUGAUCGUAAAUAAAAUAAACGAAAACACAGAAAAAGAAUAAAAUAUAAGGAAAUUCUGCAACAUUCGAUACGAACGACUAUCGAUGGCGAUGCGGGUAAGGAAGGCUACACCCUGUUUCCGAGCAAUGUCACGCGUCAGACCAAGCUUCGGCCUCGCAAGCACCGCGAAGAUAACAGUCUCGAUCUCGAUCGCCAUCGUGUCGCAAUAAAUCGGUUUCGCUUGCCCCAGUGUCAUGGCGAAAUCUCGGUAUUCGUGUCGCCAAGGCUCAAUUACGACUGGCAAUCGUUGUUUACCUCGACUCGCAGCCGCAACAUACCUUUCCUACCCAUUAAGAAAUUAUUCUCCGCUUGUUCCCGAGAAUACAUCGCACACCUUCGAUAAUUAUUUGCUCGCGGGAUGAGGCGGGCCCUGUGUUUUCUUAAAAUAUUCGUUACGACCUCGCGCAAACAUUCCACGCGUUCACCUGACUAGAUCCCACGAUGGCAAAACAAGAGAUGACGCGAUAGUUGCGAUAAUCACAACUGGGCGAGGUCGAGAUUCAUUCAAAAUUGAUUCGAAAAUCCAUCGGAUCGAUGAUUCGAAAUGUUUCGAAGUAGGUCAUCAUAAUACAUUUUUGUGGCACUGUUAAUGGAGCCGUUUUUGCGAACCAUCAUUCGGUAUUUUCGUAGCGUGUAAUUUUCAUCUGAGAUUAAUAAGUAGGCUUGUUUUUAUUGGACUGAGAUUUCGCUGCGAGAAACUGUUUUGCUGAAAUGACUGCAAAAAAGGGGAAAUUAAGGGAACAGUUGUAGGAUCAUAUGUAGAGAUGAAAAAGUGAAGAUAUUUCGUUGAAGUUGCUCGCGAUCUGUCAUACUUGACUCGUCAAGGAAUCGAAAGUUCGCUUUAAUCGCUCCACAGGGAUCCUCUAUUUUGCACCGCUAAGCGGCGAAAGUGGAUCCAGUCCGAUGAAGAAAUCGAGGAAAUUUAUCGAAAGACAUACGCAAUUAUUUUUUAUAAUUCUGAAGAAUAGAUAAAACUCUACCUGCAGAUGAAUAUCAACUUACCUUGUAACGAAGUUUAAAAAAAAAGAAGAAACCCAUCUUUUCAGUUCUCGUAAAUUGAUAAUGAAAUUCAUUCAUAUUACAACUAAGUUUUUUAACCACGAAACCAGUCUGUUCGAUCUUUGUGAAUUAAUAACAACUCUGUUACAAGCAGACAUUUCGAAAAUCAUUUGGAAUUAGCCUCCAAGUAUAGACGAUGUCUAUAUGCGAGAUUACAAAGGACUGCCUGUAUUGUCUAUUUUCUAUCGGUGUUUCUCGAUGAAGAAGCGACCACGGGAAAAGAAAAAUAGGCAUGUGAUCGUGAUCUUCCUUACGCAAGCCUAACAACCUCAUACGAGAUCGUUAACGAUCCUCCUAUACGCAAGUUUACGCGUUCCGUAGAUAGUUGCGUAGUCGCUACCGGCAUACCAAACUAGCCUCCAUCCGAGAUAUCGAUGUUCAAUCGAACUGGGAAUAAUAGUCAUUGAUUAACCAUAAACUCGUUUCAACACCACAUCGUCCCAAAAAAUAACAUAAAUUAAUGAACAUUAUUAAAUUAUUUCUGUUGCGAAAAAAUUAUACUACACAGCAAUUCUAAUAAAAUAUUUAUUCAAAAAUCUAGAUUUCUUACUAAUUUUACUUACGAUAUUAUUAUCUUGAUCUAAAUCUUUGAGAAUCUAAGAAAUAUUAUAUCAGUAUUAUUAGUAUUAUAGUAUCGUAUCAUUGUUAUUAAUAUUCGAUUAAUCAAAGUAAUCAUAUAUCUUAAUCAAAAAGUACUUUUCGAGAGGAUAAUUUUUGUACAAACGCCUGUUAGC